rnacentral:rRNA from 1 species
UACGAAGGGGGCUAGCGUUGUUCGGAAUCACUGGGCGUAAAGCGCACGUAGGCGGAUCUUUAAGUCAGGGGUGAAAUCCCGAGGCUCAACCUCGGAACUGCCUUUGAUACUGGGGAUCUCGAGUCCGGGAGAGGUGAGUGGAACUGCGAGUGUAGAGGUGAAAUUCGUAGAUAUCAGGAAGAACACCCGUGGCGAAGGCGGCUCUCUGGUACGGAACUGACGCUGAGACGCGAAAGCGUGGGGAGCGAACAGG